rnacentral:rRNA from 1 species
CUUUACUGUAACUUGAAAUUGAAAUUGGACUUUAUUUGCGCAGUAUAGGUGGGAGGCAGUGAGAAAAAUCUUGCGGGAUUUUUGGAGCCAUCAGUGAGAUACCACUCUUGUAAUGUUAGAUUUCUAACUUUGUAUCAUUAUCUGGUCAAAGAACAGUUUCAGGCGGGCAGUUUGACUGGGGCGGUCGCCUCCUAAACGGUAACGGAGGCGCACAAAGGUUUCCUCUGAACGGGUAGAAAUCGUAUCUAGAGUGUAAAGGCAUAAGGAAGCUUGACUGUGAGACCUACAAGUCGAGCAGGGACGAAAGUCGGUCUUAGUGAUCUGACGGUGCUGAGUGGAAAGGCCGUCACUCAACGGAUAAAAGUUA